rnacentral:rRNA from 1 species
GGUCAAGCUACAAAGAGCCUACGGUGGAUACCUAGGCACACAGAGGCGAUGAAGGACGUGGAUACCGACGAUACGCUUCGGGGAGCUGGAAACAAGCUUUGAUCCGGAGGUUUCCGAAUGGGGUAACCCAGUAACUCUAACGCCAAUCCAUAACGUUAGAGGGCGAACCUGGCGAACUGAAACAUCUUAGUAGCCAGAGGAAAAGAAAGAAAACUCGAUUCCCUUAGUAGCGGCGAGCGAAAGGGGAACAGCCUAAACCAACAGGCUUGCCUGUUGGGGUCGUGGGACAGCAACGUGGAAUUGAGCGGCUAGACGAAGUAGUGGAAUGCUACACCAGAGAAGGUGAAAGUCCUGUAGUCGAAAGCCUAACAAUCCUAGCUGUAUCCCGAGUAGUCCGGAACACGUGGAAUUCCGGAUGAAUCCGCGAGGACCACCUCGUAAGGCUAAAUACUCCUGUGUGACCGAUAGCGCAUAGUACCGCGAGGGAAAGGUGAAAAGAACCCCGGAAGGGGAGUGAAAUAGAACAUGAAACCGUAGGCUUACAAGCAGUCGAAGCUCGAUUUAACGAGUGACGGCGUGCCUGUUGAAGAAUGAGCCGGCGACUUAUAGGUACUGGCAGGUUAAGGCAAGAAUGCUGAAGCCAUAGCGAAAGCGAGUCUGAAUAGGGCGUUUGUCAGUAUCUAUAGACCCGAACCCGGGUGAUCUAACCAUGGCCAGAAUGAAGCUUGGGUAACACCAAGUGAAGGUUCGCACCGACCGAUGUUGAAAAAUCGGCGGAUGAGCUGUGGUUAGGGGUGAAAUGCCAAUCGAACCCGGAGCUAGCUGGUUCUCCCCGAAAUAUGUUGAGGCAUAGCGGUUGUGACUAUAGCAGGGGGGUAAAGCACUGAUUCGGUGCGGGCUGCGAGAGCGGUACCAAAUCGAGUCAAACUCUGAAUACCCUGUGUACACACAGCCAGUCAGACGGUGGGGGAUAAGCUUCAUCGUCGAGAGGGAAACAGCCCAGACCACCAGCUAAGGUCCCUAAAUCAUCACUAAGUGGCAAAGGAGGUGGGGAUGCUCAGACAACCAGGAGGUUUGCCUAGAAGCAGCAAUCCUUAAAAGAGUGCGUAAUAGCUCACUGGUCAAGCGUUCCUGCGCCGAAAAUGAACGGGACUAAGUGAUGUACCGAAGCUGUGGACUUACUCCGUAAGUGGUAGGGGAGCGUUCUGCACUAGGUUGAAGCACUAGCGUAAGCAGGUGUGGACGAAGCAGAAGUGAGAAUGUCGGCUUGAGUAGCGAAAACAUUGGUGAGAAUCCAAUGCCCCGAAACCCCAAGGGUUCCUUCGGAAGGCUCGUCCGCGAAGGGUUAGUCGGGACCUAAGGCGAGGCCGAAAGGCGUAGUCGAUGGACAACUGGUCAAUAUUCCAGUACUCAUCUUGGUUUGUGCAGAGGGACGGAGAAGGCUAAAUCAGCCGGAUGUUGGUUACCGGUUCAACUGUCCGAGGUGUUGAGGAGCGGCGAAAACGCUCUGAGCUGAGGCAGGAGUACGACCCACCACGGUGGGGAAGUGAUUGACGUCAUGCUUCCAAGAAAAGCUCUAAGCACGUUAAACCAAGAUACCCGUACCCGAAACCGACACAGGUGGGGGGGUAGAGUAUACCAAGGGGCGCGAGAUAACUCUCUCUAAGGAACUCGGCAAAAUGGCCCCGUAACUUCGGGAGAAGGGGUGCCACCGCAAGGUGGUCGCAGUGAAGAGGCCCAGGCGACUGUUUACCAAAAACACAGGUCUCCGCUAAGUCGUAAGACGAUGUAUGGGGGCUGACGCCUGCCCAGUGCCGGAAGGUUAAGGAAGUCGGUCAGCGCAAGCGAAGCUGGCGACCGAAGCCCCGGUGAACGGCGGCCGUAACUAUAACGGUCCUAAGGUAGCGAAAUUCCUUGUCGGGUAAGUUCCGACCCGCACGAAAGGCGUAACGAUCUGGGCGCUGUCUCGGAGAGAGGCUCGGCGAAAUAGAAGUGUCUGUGAAGAUGCGGACUACCUGCACCCGGACAGAAAGACCCUAUGAAGCUUUACUGUAGCCUGGAAUUGAGUUCGGGCUUUGCUUGCGCAGGAUAGGUGGGAGACGUUGAAGUAUCCCUUGCGGGGGAUACGGAGUCGCCAGUGAGAUACCACUCUGGCAAGGCUAGAAUUCUAACCUUCUGCUGUUAGCCAGCGAAGGAACAGUUUCAGGUGGGCAGUUUGCCUGGGGCGGUCGCCUCCUAAAUGGUAACGGAGGCGCGCAAAGGUUCCCUCAGGCUGGUCGGAAAUCAGCCGUAGAGUGCAAAGGCAUAAGGGAGCUUGACUGCAAGACCUACAAGUCGAGCAGAGACGAAAGUCGGCCUUAGUGAUCCGACGGUUCCGCGUGGAAGGGCCGUCGCUCAACGGAUAAAAGUUACUCUAGGGAUAACAGGCUGAUCUCCCCCAAGAGUUCACAUCGACGGGGAGGUUUGGCACCUCGAUGUCGGCUCAUCGCAACCUGGGGCGGUAGUACGUCCCAAGGGUUGGGCUGUUCGCCCAUUAAAGCGGUACGUGAGCUGGGUUCAGAACGUCGUGAGACAGUUCGGUCCAUAUCCGGUGCAGGCGUAGGAGCAUUGAGAGGACUCCUCCUUAGUACGAGAGGACCGGGAGGAACGCACCUCUGGUGUACCUGUUAUCGUGCCAACGGUAGACGCAGGGUAGCCAUGUGCGGAGUGGAUAACCGCUGAAAGCAUCUAAGUGGGAAGCCCACCUCAAGAUGAGUGCUCCCAUGGCAUAAGCCAGUAAGGUCACGGGUAGAACACCCGUUAAUAGGCUCUCGAUGGAAGUCCAGUAAUGGAUGAAGUCUAGGAGUACUAAUAGACCGAGGGCUUGACCUC